UUGACCUCAAAUCGGGUGAGACUACCCGCUGAACUUAAGCAUAUCAAUAAGCGGAGGAAAAGAAACUAACAAGGAUUCCCCUAGUAACUGCGAGUGAAGCGGGAAAAGCUCAAAUUUA
rnacentral:rRNA from 1 species